GACGAACGCUGGCGGCGUGCUUAACACAUGCAAGUCGAACGGAAAGGCCCUGCUUGCAGGGUACUCGAGUGGCGAACGGGCGAGUAACACGUGGGUGAUCUGCCCUGCACUUCGGGAUAAGCCUGGGAAACUGGGUCUAAUACCGGAUAGGAGCCAUUUUUAGUGUGAUGGUUGGAAAGUUUUUUCGGUGUAGGAUGAGCUCGCGGCCUAUCAGCUUGUUGGUGGGGUAAUGGCCUACCAAGGCGGCGACGGGUAGCCGGCCUGAGAGGGUGGACGGCCACAUUGGGACUGAGAUACGGCCCAGACUCCUACGGGAGGCAGCAGGGGGGAAUAUUGCACAAGGGGCGCAAGCCUGAUGCAGCGACGCCGCGUGGGGGAGGACGGCCUUCGGGUUGUAAACUCCUUUCGCUAGGGACGAAGCUUUUUGUGACGGUACCUAGAUAAGAAGCACCGGCUAACUACGUG
rnacentral:rRNA from 1 species